GAUCUCUUUGAGGCCCGUUAUCGGAAUGAGAACAAUUCAAAUCCUUUAACGAGGAUCUAGCGGAGGGCAAGUCUGGUGCCAGCAGCCGCGGUAAUUCCAGCUCCGCAGGUGUAUAUCUAUGCUGCUGCGGUUAAAAAGCUCGUAGUUGGAUCUGCGUGCUCGGAACUGGUUGGCUCACUGAGUUCAAACUGGUCUCCGGCGCUUUAUUGGCUGGUUUUCCCUUGAUGCUCUUAACCGGGUGUCUUGGGUGGCUAGCACGUUUACUUUGAAAAAAUUAGAGUGCUCAAUACAGGCGUAAAGCCUUGAAUAGUGGUGCAUGGAAUAAUAGAAUAGGACCUCGGCUCUAUUUUGUUGGUUUUCGGAACGCGAGGUAAUGAUUAAGAGGGACAGACGGGGGCAUUCGUAUUGCGACGUUAGAGGUGAAAUUCUUGGAUCGUCGCAAGACGGACGACUGCGAAAGCAUUUGCCAAGAAUGUUUUCAUUAAUCAAGAACGAAAGUUAGAGGUUCGAAGGCGAUCAGAUACCGCCCUAGUUCUAACCGUAAACGAUGCCAACUAGCGAUUCGCAGGCGUUAAACAACGACCUUGCGGGCAGCUUCCCGGAAACGAAAGUGUUCGGGUUCCGGGGGAAGCAUGGUUGCAAAGCUGAAACUUAAAGGAAUUGACGGAAGGGCACCACCAGGAGUGGAGCCUGCGGCUUAAUUUGACCCAACACGGGAAAACUCACCCGGCCCGGACACCGUAAGGAUUGACAGAUUGAGAGCUCUUUCUUGAUUCGGUGGGUGGUGGUGCAUGGCCGUUCUUAGUUGGUGGAGCGAUUUGUCUGGUUUAUUCCGACAACGAACGAGACUCUGGCCUACUAAAUAGUGGGCGGAUUCUUUCUGUCCGCAACACUUCUUAGAGGGACAAGCGGUGUUCAGCCGCACGAGAUUGAGCAAUAACAGGUCUGUGAUGUCCUUAGAUGUCCGGGGCUGCACGCGCGCUACACUGAAGGAAUCAGCGUGCUUUCUGACCUUGCCCGAAAGGGCUGGGUAACCCGAUGAAAAUCCUUCGUGAUUGGGAUAGGGACUUGCAAUUAUUUCCCUUGAACGAGGAAUUCCCAGUAAGUGUGGGUCAUAAGCUCGCGUUGAUUACGUCCCUGCCCUUUGUACACACCGCCCGUCGCUGCCCGGAACUGAGCCGUUUCGAGAAGAACAGGGACCGUCGUUGAAGGGCCUUAACGGGCUUUUCUCUGAUAGAAACUGUU
rnacentral:rRNA from 1 species